AGAUUGAACGCUGGCGGCAGGCCUAACACAUGCAAGUCGAGCGGCAGCACGGGUACUUGUACCUGGUGGCGAGCGGCGGACGGGUGAGUAAUGCCUAGGAAUCUGCCUGGUAGUGGGGGAUAACGCUCGGAAACGGACGCUAAUACCGCAUACGUCCUACGGGAGAAAGCAGGGGACCUUCGGGCCUUGCGCUAUCAGAUGAGCCUAGGUCGGAUUAGCUAGUUGGUGAGGUAAUGGCUCACCAAGGCGACGAUCCGUAACUGGUCUGAGAGGAUGAUCAGUCACACUGGAACUGAGACACGGUCCAGACUCCGUACGGGAGCAGCGAGGUAGGGGAAUAGUUAGGACAAGUGGGACGAAAGCCU
rnacentral:rRNA from 1 species